UACGAAGGGGGCUAGCGUUGCUCGGAAUUACUGGGCGUAAAGGGCGCGUAGGCGGAUAUUUAAGUCGGGGGUGAAAGCCCGGGGCUCAACCUCGGAAUUGCCUUCGAUACUGGAUAUCUUGUGUUCGGGAGAGGUGAGUGGAAUGCCGAGUGUAGAGGUGAAAUUCGUAGAUAUUCGGCGGAACACCAGUGGCGAAGGCGACUCACUGGCCCGAUACUGACGCUGAGGCGCGAAAGCGUGGGGAGCAAACAGG
rnacentral:rRNA from 1 species